GGGUGCGAUCAUACCAGCGUUAAUGCACCGGAUCCCAUCAGAACUCCGCAAUUAAGCGCGCUUCAGAUAGAGUAGUACUGGGAUGGGUGACCUCUCGGGAAGUCCUAGUGUUGCACCCU
rnacentral:rRNA from 1 species